rnacentral:rRNA from 14 species
GCUCUCGGAAGCUAAGAUAGGUUGGGCCUGGUUAGUACUUGGAUGGGAGACCACCUGGGAAUACCAGGUGCUGUAAGCA